rnacentral:rRNA from 1 species
AACCUCCGCAAUGUGAGAAAUCGCGACGGGGGGAUCCCAAGUGCCAUUCUUAACGGGAUGGCUUUUCAUUAGUGUAAAGAGCUUUUGGAAUAAGAGCUGGGCAAGACCGGUGCCAGCCGCCGCGGUAACACCGGCAGCUCUAGUGGUAACAAUUUUUAUUGGGCCUAAAGCGUCCGUAGCCGGUUUAAUAAGUCUCUGGUGAAAUCCUGCAGCUUAACUGUGGGAAUUGCUGGAGAUACUAUUAGACUUGAGACCGGGAGAGGUUAGAGGUACUCCCAGGGUAGAGGUGAAAUUCUGUAAUCCUGGGAGGACCGCCUGUUGCGAAGGCGUCUAACUGGAACGGUUCUGACGGUGAGGGACGAAAGUUAGGGGCGCGAACCGGAUUAGAUACCCGGGUAGUCCUAACUGUAAACGAUGCGGACUUGGUGUUGGGGUGGCUUUGAGCUGCUUCAGUGCCGAAGGGAAGCUGUAAGUCCGCCGCCGUGGGAGUACGGUCGCAAGACUGAAACUUAAAGGAAUU